UAUUGUCAUUUGGGCGUUGAACCUCAUUCACUUACAUUACGGCGCGUCGAUUAGUUCCAGAGGUCAUGCUGGACCUCCAGGAUUGUUGUUGUGGCCAUCACCAGUCCUGUCUGGACUGGUUUCCAGCUGCCCUUGGGACCGAUCUUCAGGCCCCGAAACAGAUGGAUGGAGUCCCGGAGGAAGCUGAUGGCCUUAUCAUACAUCAUCUGUCUCACUCUGUCUGUUAUGUCCCUUUCAUUCCCUUGGAACUCCACCUCAAUAUCUCCCUGAAUCUCUGUAACAAUAACAAGGCAAUCUUGCUGUUAUAUGUGUAUGCUGCCUUUACACGUGCACCUAUUGUCAUUAAAGGGUACACUACACUCCUAUAGUGACAUUCAUCUAAGUUCGUCUAUUGGCAAUGUUAAAGUAUGAAAAAAUCUGUAGAUGAUCUACAUGUGGUAUAUGAGUCUUCAGAGAAUCCCUGAACCCUGGUAGUUUUGAAGCUGUAUAAUCUGAAGGUUGCAUUAGGAGUGUAGUCUAUCCUUGAAUUAUAUAACAUGGGAAACAUUGUUAGCUUCAUAUAUCAUACCAAUGUUUGAUGUGCCAUAAUAGCUGUGGUCAUCAUUCCUGACAGCUGGAGGCAUACUCCUUGACGUGGAUUUCCUCCUUUUCGGCUUAGGCCGAUGUAUAAAUAUUGUUGGAACAGCAUCUGGCCUCAACCUCAAAUUUCCUCCUGAUUUGUUGCCAAUAUAUUGGUCGUCUUCAAAGUGUACCUGUAGGUAGGUAGGUUUCAUCAGUUUCCACUGCACACUUCAAAUGUCAUUGUAGAGUCAUAAUUCUCUACACUUGGAAAUAUGAUGCCCUUUAAAAUGUGAACAAGUCAUGUCACCUCUGUGGACAUUACUUACAUGACAGAGUUUUCUGCUGUUGUUGUCCUCUGUCAGACACAGGUUUUGUCUGUUGACCAUUGCCAUCCAUCUCUUCCUUGGCUCUACGUCCUUAGGGAAGCCAUACACCCGGAACCCAUUCUCGUAUUGAUUAGAGCAUCCAAAUGCUGCACAUCCAACCAUGGGCCCAGGAAACAGAUGAAGAGGAUGUCCCUUUCACAAAGGAACCUUUUUGUUUUUUUCAAAAUGGUUAGGCUCCUGAUGCCCUAGAGUUCUGUAUUGCUUUUUUAUAAAUAGUUGCUUACCCUAACCCUUUUUUGUAAAUAGUAUUGCUUUUUUAUAAAUAGUUGUUUGUAAACAUGGUUCAACAGGAGCUUCUGUAAAUAGUUUGAAUAUUUAUCAUAGUAAUCAU